rnacentral:rRNA from 1 species
UACAGAGGUCCCAAGCGUUGUUCGGAUUCAUUGGGCGUAAAGGGUGCGUAGGUGGCGCCGUAAGUGGGGUGUGAAAUCUCGGGGCUUAACUCCGAAACUGCAUUCCAUACUGCGGUGCUUGAGGACUGGAGAGGAGACUGGAAUUUACGGUGUAGCGGUGAAAUGCGUAGAUAUCGUAAGGAAGACCAGUGGCGAAGGCGGGUCUCUGGACAGUUCCUGACACUGAGACACGAAGGCCAGGGGAGGCAAAACGGG